AACAAACUAGAGCUUGACUAGAAAGCAUUUCAUUUACCCUGAAAAUUUUGCUGUGCAAUUCAGCGUAGUUUGA
rnacentral:tRNA from 1 species